rnacentral:rRNA from 1 species
GAUGAACGCUGGCGGCGUGCCUAAUACAUGCAAGUCGAGCGAACAGAUGAGGAGCUUGCUCCUCUGACGUUAGCGGCGGACGGGUGAGUAACACGUGGAUAACCUACCUAUAAGACUGGGAUAACUUCGGGAAACCGGAGCUAAUACCGGAUAAUAUAUUGAACCGCAUGGUUCAAUAGUGAAAGACGGUUUUGCUGUCACUUAUAGAUGGAUCCGCGCCGCAUUAGCUAGUUGGUAAGGUAACGGCUUACCAAGGCAACGAUGCGUAGCCGACCUGAGAGGGUGAUCGGCCACACUGGAACUGAGACACGGUCCAGACUCCUACGGGAGGCAGCAGUAGGGAAUCUUCCGCAAAGGGCGAAAGCUUGACGGAGCAACGCCGCGUGAGUGAUGAAGGUCUUCGGAUCGUAGAACUCUGUUAUUAGGGAAGAACAAAUGUGUAAGUAACUAUGCACGUCUUGACGGUACCUAAUCAGAAAGCCACGGCUAACUACGUG